GGCGGCUGGUGGUUUUUACGGAACUCAGUACCCACUGUAGCGUGGAAUGAUCAGUCACCACUGUAAACAUCUUGGGUUCGAGCUUCGGCUUCCGUAAGCAAUCACCUCUUCUCCACUGUGGUCUUUUCGUUGUGUCAGUAUGGAACCUAAACCACUGUCGCUGGUGUCCGUGUACACAAUGAAAAGUAGGCUGAGAUUUGGGUGUCCAUGAAUAGGAGAGCGUUUAUGGGCUCAGUGAUCUGAGAAAAGUUGGGUACAAAUCGGUGGUAUCACCCAGCCAAUACGAGGAAUCUCUGAACUUUCUUGAGGUUGCGUGGUACGGGAACUUGCUUUUUUCAGGUUGAUGGUUAAUCUGGAGUUUUUCAAUCGGUGGAGAACAGUCUGGAGGUCGAUGAAGUGUUGAGCUACAGAUGGCAUGACGUUGAACUGAUAUAACCCUGAAGGAGUAAUGAAAGCAGUUUUUUCCUUACUCUUGUGGUCCAUCGAUACCUGCCAGUACCCACUGUUGAGGUCUGUUGUGGAGAAAAUGGCAGCACCCGAAAGAGACUCAAGAAUCUCGGCGAUGUUUGGAAGAGGGGGUAUGCAUGUCACGAACGCUGGUGAAGAUUGGAUGGAUCCCACUCAGCCUGAGUCCGUGUUACAGAAGACUUUGCCAACUACCAAUCCAGCGGUCCUCAUGCAUCUGUCCAGCAAACUCUCUGCCCAAGCGAACCUACUGGCAUCUCACCAACAACAACUAGGCUGACUCACCACGCUAACGGAGGAGUUGGUGAAAUCCGUACAGAGUCUCCAUCGGACUGCACCUGAAUCCGUUUCCCCAGCGCCUCAAGCGAGUCAGGUACCAGUCAUAAUGCCUCACAGUCCACGUUUAGCCUUUCCAGACAUAUUUGACAGCACCGCAACCAAAUGUAAGGGCUUUCUUAUGCAAUGCUCUAUGUUCCUGGCUCAACAGCCCUCGUUAUACCAAACUGAUGAUAGUAAGAUCUCUCUUGUGUGUUCACUGCUCAUGGGAAAGGCGUUGGAAUGGGCAACAGCUGUCUGGGCCAAUCAAGGACUAAACCGCACCACUUUCAGUGAUUUUAUUCAAUGACUAAGAGAAGUAUUCGAACAUUCUGAGGGAGGAAGGAGUGCUGGGGAACAACUGCUUGCGCUUCGUCAGGGAAGAAAUACCACAGCUGAAUUCGCUCUGUCUUUUCGCACUCUCGCUGCGCAAACUGUGUGGGUGGAAGACACAUUAAAACUGCUGUUUCGUCAAGGAUUAAACACUGACGUGCAAUCAGAGCUGGCCUGCUGUGAUGAAGGCAGAACCCUGGACCAAUUCAUUGACCUCGCUAUUCGCAUUGACAAUCUAAUUUGCUCCAGGAGACCUAACCGAUUUACCAGCCCUCUCAGUCAAACAAAUCAACCCAGUGAUAACUCUGAACCCAUGCAAGUCGGUCGAACUCAUCUCUCCAAAGAGGAGCGUGAACGGUGCAUCAGGAAACAUAUCUGUCUAUAUUGUGGCCAAGUGGGACAUUUGAGAUCUGACUGCCCAACACGACCCCCUCAAACACACAAUCGCAAGGUGAGUUUGUUGAUUUCCUCUAUCCUUUCCCACUUUCCAAGUCUCACUGCUGAAACCUGCCGGUGGUCCGAGGGUGGAGGAGGAAGGCAGUGACUCAGGCACCCCACCCAUGAUCGUGGAUGGCAAGGAGACAUUUCUAGUGCGAAAUCUUCUAGAUUCCAGACGUUGGGGAAGUCAGAUCCAAUAUCUGGUAGAUUGGGAGGGGUACAGUACGGAGGAGAGGUCCUGGGUCAAGGCGGAUGAUAUCCUCGACCCCAAUCUCAUCGCAGAAUUUCAAAGGACUCACACCUUCCCCUCCACCUCGAGGAAGACCCUGACGUCGGAUGUGGGAGGGGGGUUCUGUCACGAAUGCCGGUGAAGAUUCCCCAAUCAGCCACUGGAGGUCUCCCUCGCCUGAGUAUUAUUAUUGGACUACAUUUCCCAAGUGCCCACAUACCUGGACUGAUUACUGCACAUCUGUUCCAUAUCACUCAGACUAUUUAAGCCCGGUGUGUGUUCACUCUUUGUGAAGUCUUGUUUGCCCCGGCUACAUUUCUGAGCAUUAUUAUUUCCUGUGUUGUUCUGCUCAUGUUUGACUCUGCCUUGGAUUACCUCUGUACGAAUCUUUGAUGCCUGCCUACCACUGUGUUUGCCUGGACUAUUUCUAUUGCUGUUUGCUGCCUGCCCCGAUCCUCUGCCUGUUAUACCACGUUUACUGCCCUGCAUUUGAUAUUGUUGAUUGCCCUGGUUAUUCGACCCAUGCUUGUCUGUACUCUGAACUUUCUGUGUUUUAAUAAACCGCACAUGGA